rnacentral:rRNA from 1 species
GACGAACGCUGGCGGCGUGCUUAACACAUGCAAGUUGAACGGAAAGGCCCUGCUUUUGUGGGGUGCUCGAGUGGCGAACGGGUGAGUAACACGUGAGUAACCUGCCCUUGACUUUGGGAUAACUUCAGGAAACUGGGGCUAAUACCGGAUAGGAGCUCCUGCUGCAUGGUGGGGGUUGGAAAGUUUCGGCGGUUGGGGAUGGACUCGCGGCUUAUCAGCUUGUUGGUGGGGUAGUGGCUUACCAAGGAUUUGACGGGUAGCCGGCCUGAGAGGGUGACCGGCCACAUUGGGACUGAGAUACGGCCCAGACUCCUACGGGAGGCAGCAGUGGGGAAUAUUGCACAAUGGGCGGAAGCCUGAUGCAGCAACGCCGCGUGCGGGAUGACGGCCCUCGGGUUGUAAACCGCUUUCGCCUGUGACGAAGCGUGAGUGACGGUAAUGGGUAAAGAAGCACCGGCUAACUACGUG